rnacentral:misc_RNA from 1 species
CAUUGUCGUGACCUGACCAAAUAGACCGUGAACGUGUAAUCCAGCCUGCCGUCGGCGACUCACCUCGUCGUUCGGCCAAGUCCUCGAACCUCCUCUCCUCGGAGCGGUGGCUCGGGGUAAAAGAACCCACGGCGCCUAAGGCGUCAAGGAACACUGUGCCUAACUCGGGGACGCGUCUGGCUUGCUGGCCGCCCCCCGUGUUGCAAAGCUAUAUAAUCCACACGACUCUCGGCAACGGAUAUCUCGGCUCUCGCAUCGAUGAAGAACGUAGCGAAAUGCGAUACCUGGUGUGAAUUGCAGAAUCCCGCGAACCAUCGAGUCUUUGAACGCAAGUUGCGCCCGAGGCCAUUCGGCCGAGGGCACGCCUGCCUGGGCGUCACGCCAAACACGCUCCCAAACCCCCUCAUCGGGGAUCGGGAUGCGGCAUGUGGCCCCCUGUCUCGCAAGUGGCGGUGGGCCGAAGAUGUGGCUGCCGGUGUAUCGUGCCGGACACAGCGCGUGGUGGGCGACCUCGCUUUACUAAGCGCAGUGCGACGGACACGUAGCCGGCGUUACGGCCAUGAAGGACCCUAUAAACGGAGCGCAUGACGCUCCGACCGCGACCCCAGUCAGCGGAAUACG